GUAGAUGGAAUCAGUGUUUGGACAUGCGAUUUUACGUUGAUUCCAUCUCACGA
rnacentral:pre_miRNA from 1 species